rnacentral:rRNA from 2 species
GUGGAGCAUGUGGUUUAAUUCGAAGCUACGCGAAGAACCUUACCAGGUCUUGACAUCUUGCGCCAACCCUAGAGAUAGGGCGUUUCCUUCGGGAACGCAAUGACAGGUGGUGCAUGGUCGUCGUCAGCUCGUGUCGUGAGAUGUUGGGUUAAGUCCCGCAACGAGCGCAACCCUUGUUACUAGUUGCCAGCAUUAAGUUGGGCACUCUAGUGAGACUGCCGGUGACAAACCGGAGGAAGGUGGGGACGACGUCAGAUCAUCAUGCCCCUUAUGACCUGGGCUACACACGUGCUACAAUGGACGGUACAACGAGUCGCGAACUCGCGAGGGCAAGCAAAUCUCUUAAAACCGUUCUCAGUUCGGACUGCAGGCUGCAACUCGCCUGCACGAAGUCGGAAUCGCUAGUAAUCGCGGAUCAGCAUGCCGCGGUGAAUACGUUCCCGGGCCUUGUACACACCGCCC